rnacentral:rRNA from 1 species
CUUGGUCAUUUAGAGGAAGUAAAAGUCGUAACAAGGUUUCCGUAGGUGAACCUGCGGAAGGAUCAUUAAAGAAUCGCCCCGUUUUUUGAAAUGGGUUCUAUUCCCAAACCGUGUCUACAUACCUUUGUUGCUUUGGCAGGCCGCCGCUUAGGCGUUGGCUCCGGCUGACUGCGCCUGCCAGAGGACCCAAACUCGUUUGUUUAGUGAUGUCUGAGUACUAUAUAAUAGUUAAAACUUUCAACAACGGAUCUCUUGGUUCUGGCAUCGAUGAAGAACGCAGCGAAAUGCGAUAAGUAAUGUGAAUUGCAGAAUUCAGUGAAUCAUCGAAUCUUUGAACGCACAUUGCGCCCCUUGGUAUUCCGAGGGGCAUGCCUGUCCGAGCGUCAUUAUAACCACUCAAGCCCCGGCUUGGUCUUGGGGUUCGCGGUCUCGCGGCCCUUAAAAUCAGUGGCGGUGCCGUCUGGCUCUAAGCGUAGUAAUUCUCUCGCUAUAGGGUCCCGGCGGUUACCUGCCAGAACCCCCCCAUUUUUUACGGUUGACCUCGGAUCAGGUAGGGAUACCCGCUGAACUUAAGCAUAUCAAUAAGCGGAGGA